rnacentral:sRNA from 1 species
GCGAGAGUGGCUGGAGCAGCACAAGGACAAGGACGAGGACAUCUACCGGAGCCGGCUCCCCCACUACUUCCCCGUGGCCUGAGGCUCCCGCAGCCCACCCUGACCGGGACCGACCUGCCUUCGGGACCCCGCUCCCAGCUCUGAGAGGUCGCCAAAGCCUGCAGCCUGGCCUGGGCCUGGCCACCCCUUCUUUCCGUCCGAGCCCCGCCCCUGAGGAGCCUAAUAAAGAU